rnacentral:lncRNA from 1 species
AAGAUUGUCAUUUAACGAAUUUAUCGUAAAAAAGUAUAUCAUACUGCACGCUACCCGCUUUGUUUAUUAUGAAUUUUUAUCAUUCUUAAGAGUAUAAUAGGUAUCUUAAUAAGUUACGUAGUUGUAUUAUGCAAUUUAUAUUCGAAAACAGUGCACUAACAACGUUGAAUUAAAUGUUAUAAUUUUAAAUUUUAAGUAGACAAAAUAGAGAUUCUAAAGAUAGGACAAAUAAUUUAUGUGUAAGAACAAAUUUUU